rnacentral:rRNA from 1 species
CGGCGGACGGGUGAGUAAUGUCUGGGAAACGGCCCGAUGGAGGGGGGUAACUACUGGAAACGGUAGCUAAUACCGCAUAACGUCGCAAGACCAAAGAGGGGGACCUUCGGGCCUCUUGCCAUCGGAUGUGCCCAGAUGGGAUUAGCUAGUAGGUGGGGUAACGGCUCACCUAGGCGACGAUCCCUAGCUGGUCUGAGAGGAUGACCAGCCACACUGGAACUGAGACACGGUCCAG